AUUGAACGCUGGCGGCAGGCCUAACACAUGCAAGUCGAGCGAGCGGCGGACGGGUGAGUAACGUCUGGGAAACCGCCCGAUGGAGGGGGAUAACUAUUGGAAACGGUAUCUAAAACCGCAUAACAUCUGAUGUGCUCAGAUGGGAUUAGCUAGUAGGGGGGGUAACGGCUCACCUGGGCGACGAUCCCCAGCUGGUCUGAGAGGAUGACCAGCCAAACGGGAACUGAGACACGGUCCAGACUCCUACGGGAGGCAGCAGUGGGGAAUAUUGCACAAUGGGCGCAAGCCUGAUGCAGCCAUGCCGCGUGUGUGAAGAAGGCCUUCGGGUUGUAAAGCACUUUCAGCAGGGAGGCGUUACCCGCAGAAGAAGCACCGGCUAACUCCGUGCCAGCAGCCGCGGUAAUAC
rnacentral:rRNA from 1 species